CUAACCUGUAGAAUGCGCACUCUCACCGUUAUUGCUCAUUCGUGAUUGAGGAAGGGAAGCGGUGUAUUUUUGGAUUACUCACAAGCACUGUUCAUCUUCAUGACAAACUGCUUGCUGAAAGGGACUUGGCUAUCAAAGCUUGAUUCAGAAGUGAUUGAAAAUUUGUUGGAGCGAGAAAUUCCAACGGAGAUACAAGAUGGCGAGCUAAUCCCAAGACGAACCAUUGAACUGUGCCUCACGCAGGAGCGAGACGCACGCGAGAUUUCGGUUUGACAUCCUUCAUUCUGGUAGGAUCCACCAUGUUAUCCCCCCCCCCCCCCCCCGGAUCGCAAGAAAGCAGCCAAAAGAGACUGUAAAAACAGACAUUGAUACAGCGAAGAGACACUCCUUUCUAUUGGAGCCGUUCAGCCUUUUGCUGAAUUGUUUUGAAUUAACGCUUCUUGUCAUUUUUAAUACUUUUAGUGUUAUUGACUUACCAACUUUUGUUGAUCAACAAAAGCAAAACCAUUUGAUGGAAAAAAAUUGAAUAUUGAAACUCAAAAUAGAAAUCAAACGUCUAUAAAACUGAGGAAGUUGAAGAAAUCGAUUAAAAAGAAAAAUUAGAAAUCGGAAAAGCAAAAACAACCAGGGUUGAUAGAUCCUAAAAAUAAUAAAAAAAUAACUGAUUAUAAUAUUGGAAAAGAAGUUGUUAAAUAGAUCCUACAGAUAAUCAAAAAUAACUGAUUAUAACAUAGGAAGAGAACUUAACGGGAAAAACUGACUUGAUCAAUAAGGGAACAAAUUUCCUUUUUUGAAAUUUAUAUAAUUUUUUAAAUUUCUUUGUUAACUGUAUGUCAUUGUAUGUAUGUUUUUGUUUGUACAUAAAAAUAGGCCGGCAGUUCAAAACAUAACUUGUCCGAGUCAUUUGUUUGGUUUAUGCACAUACUGCUUCAGUAGUCGAACCUAGUACUAGCCCAUAGCAUAAUUAAUUUACUGUAAUCACGUCAUAGGUGUUACACACAGCAAGGUUGUCUCAGAGGGCUUUACAGCAUGAAUUCGAUACACCGAUACAGUAGAUGAAUGGGAUGAGUUCAUGUCCUGGGCAUCCCCC